AACGGCCAUACCAUGCUGAAUAUACCGGUUCUCAUUAGAUCACCGAAGUCAAGCAUCAUUGGGCGCGGUCAGUACUUGGGUGGGGCACCACCUGGGAACACCGCGUGCCGUU
rnacentral:rRNA from 1 species